rnacentral:rRNA from 1 species
AUUGAACGCUGGCGGCAUGCCUUACACAUGCAAGUCGAACGGUAGAGGGGCAACCCUCGAGAGUGGCGAACGGGUGAGUAAUGCAUCGGAACGUGCCCGGUCGUGGGGGAUAACGUAGCGAAAGCUACGCUAAUACCGCAUACGACCCGAGGGUGAAAGCGGGGGACUCGCAAGGGCCGCGCGCGAUUGGAGCGGCCGAUGUCAGAUUAGGUAGUUGGUGGGGUAAAGGCCAACCAAGCCGACGAUCUGUAGCUGGUCUGAGAGGACGACCAGCCACACUGGGACUGAGUCACGGCCCAGACUCCUACGGGAGGCAGCAGUGGGGAAUUUUGGACAAUGGGCGCAAGCCUGAUCCAGCCAUGCCGCGUGCGGGAAGAAGGCCUUCGGGUUGUAAACCGCUUUUGUCAGGGAAGAAAUCUUCUGGGUUAAUACCUCGGGAGGAUGACGGUACCUGGAGAGUAAGCACCGGCUAACUACGUGCCAGCCGCCGCCGUAA